rnacentral:rRNA from 1 species
AGAGUUUGAUCCUGGCUCAGAUUGAACGCUGGCGGCAGGCCUAACACAUGCAAGUCGAACGGUAACAGAGAGCAGCUUGCUGCUCUGCUGACGAGUGGCGGACGGGUGAGUAAUGUCUGGGGAUCUGCCCGAUGGAGGGGGAUAACCACUGGAAACGGUGGCUAAUACCGCAUAACGUCGCAAGACCAAAGUGGGGGACCUUCGGCCUCACACCAUCGGAUGAACCCAGAUGGGAUUAGCUAGUAGGUGGGGUAACGGCUCACCUAGGCGACGAUCCCUAGCUGGUCUGAGAGGAUGACCAGCCACACUGGAACUGAGACACGGUCCAGACUCCUACGGGAGGCAGCAGUGGGGAAUAUUGCACAAUGGGCGCAAGCCUGAUGCAGCCAUGCCGCGUGUAUGAAGAAGGCCUUCGGGUUGUAAAGUACUUUCAGCGGGGAGGAAGGGAUGAAGCUUAAUACGCUUCGUCAUUGACGUUACCCGCAGAAGAAGCACCGGCUACUCCGUGCCAGCAGCCGCGGUAAUACGGAGGGUGCAAGCGUUAAUCGGAAUUACUGGGCGUAAAGCGCACGCAGGCGGUCUGUCAAGUCGGAUGUGAAAUCCCCGGGCUCAACCCGGGAACUGCAUUCGAAACUGGCAGGCUAGAGUCUCGUAGAGGGGGGUAGAAUUCCAGGUGUAGCGGUGAAAUGCGUAGAGAUCUGGAGGAAUACCGGUGGCGAAGGCGGCCCCCUGGACGAAGACUGACGCUCAGGUGCGAAAGCGUGGGGAGCAAACAGGAUUAGAUACCCUAGUAGUCC